AUCACUAAAAUCCUUAGUAAAUACAAACCCGUUUCCCUCAGAGCAAAAGAACAAAAGCAAAACAAAAAAUCCUGUUAUAUAACAUUGACUUUUCAUUGCCUCGCUUUUAGUGGCCUGUUGCUAUGGAAAUCUCCCCAUACUAUCUGCAGACAUGAAUCGUAUAUUGGUAGCAGUACAUCUGCAGUGUCCCAUAUGGAAAAUCUACUGCAGUCAACAGAGGCAAGCGAAAAACUCUCCCCACAGAUGGAUUCAGCACUGCAAAGAUGGCCAUUUGGAUUGUUUCCUAGUUACUUCCAAAAUGAAGUGACACUUUUGUACAUGUUUCCUGAUGUGCACUGCCAAGAAUCAUCCUCAAAUAAAAACCUAGAGGUAAAAACUGGAAUAAAAAACGCUGUUGAAACCAAUGACAAAGGACUUGUUCUUAGCAGAAAAUGCUGAAGACGAUAAAAGCCAUGAUGUUGAGAAACAGGUCACCAUCUCUCAUUCCUGGAAGCAACCGUCCCUCCAUCCUCCUCCUCACCCUUCCAUUCACUUUCCUUUCUCCAUCUAUCUGUCUAACAUGCAUUUCUUGAGUACCCGCCUGAGGCCAAGCUCUGUUCUGCUUUCUAAAUAUCCCACAAUGGCAGGUAGUUUGCUGCUCCCUGUGAGUCACACGACUGCCACAGCAACUGUACAAAGUACAGAAUGAUCUUAAAUUUUUUUUUAUUACAUUGAUUGGUUCUGUUUCUUCAUGGGGACAGCAGUAAAUUGCUCUUUUAAAUUUAGCUUUGAGACGCUGUAAUUUCAGUCCUAAAUGCAGAAAUUGAACUGCUUUCAAGGACAGCAAAAUGAUGGCAGUGCCCUGGUGCUAAGAUACAAUGACAAGCUAAAAUACAACAAACCAUUUCAUUACCCUAUGGGAACUAUAUAUCCAUGCUGAGAAAGGCAGGCGUACUUUGUGAGCACUGUACCUAAAUACACUCGCUGAGACUGUUCUUUCUCUCUAUGAAGCAGAGAUGAUAAUGCAUACCUUGUCUAACUGAUAGGGCUGGUAGAAGGAUCACAAGAGAUAAUGUCUGUGACUAUGCCCUGUGAAAUAUACUAACAUAAGAAAGUAUUAUUUUUUAUCAUUAUAGGUUGUUGGGUUUUUUAUUUGUCAAGAAUAUUCCCUGAGUCUUCCUUAUUCCACCAAAUUUGACUAAAAGAGGCAAAUAAUGUUAAUUCAGAACAUACUUAAAUUGACAGGUUAACUCUGUUACUGUCUAGCUAAGUGAUUGAUCCUAAGCUAAUUGUUUAGUUUUCUUAUCCUUAAAACAGAGAUGAUCAUAAUAUAUGUCCUAAAAUAUUGUUGUAAGUCUUACAGCUUCCCAACCACUCCCCAAAUCUAUUAGCCUGAAAAAUACUUGCCCGUGUUUCAGGUUUCCAGACAAAGCUUCACCUCUAUCUCUUCUCAUUUCCUAGGAGCUCCAGCCCUCACCUGAGAGUCUAACCAUUCUUCUCACCUCUCAGUAGCUUCUAUCAGACUCCUAUGAUAUACUCCCUCCCCAUUUCUGCAUUGCAUACAGGCCCUGUCUUAAUUCCCUGAACAUCCUGGGUUCUGGCCUGCUCCUCUGUCAGGAACAUCCACCAGUUGCCUAGUUAAUUCCCAUUGAUCCCUCAGAUUCCAGUGCAAAUGUCACUUCCUAGAGAAUACCUGCUCUAACCUUACAUGAUGUUGGGCCCAAAUUAGAGCCCCAUCUUGUUCACUGUCCAUUCUCCCUAAUGCUUAUCACAGCUGUCAUUGAAUCAAUUAUCUAAUGUAAACAAUGUAGAGCAGGAACCAUUUCUAUCUUUGCA